AUAUCCCAUGUACUUAUAUGCUCUGUGGAACAUGUUCUUGUAAAAUUAACAUAUACUCUAUUACCUCCUUAUUAAUGGGAAAUUCUGAGGGACUGCCUUCAUCCAUCACAAUAAGCUGGGCCCCUCAGCGUUCCCCGCCCCAAGCUGACAAGGCAAGUUCUGAGGUCCACAGGGAGCCAGGAGGGAAGGCCGUCUCUUUUCAUCCAUGCAAUGCCUACACUAUGCAGAAAAGGGAGGACCUCAAGACCAAGAAGCGAUUAUGUUGCAGCCCUUCUUCUGUGAACACGCUCAAAAACACACGAAUGUUCCCGCUAAAUCAGUGACUCCAUCAACCUUGAUCCACAGGCCUUGGCUGUGGCAGAGGGACUGCAGGAAGCCACGUGGCUGAGAACCCACCUUCUUAUUACCAUGUUGGGCAGUUUCUAGGAGUGCUUCCUGGUUUCAGAUUUUCUUCCCUUUCAAAGCAGGGUGGGGGUGGUGUAAAGCCCUUGCUCGGGCUAGGAGCCAGAUACGUGGCAGCUUAAUUUUCCCCAUUAUGCAGGACAAAUACCAAGAAGAAUUCCCAGGUGUGUCUGCAGCCGUGAAAAUGUGACAUGAGUCACAGUGUCUUCGGAGGAAAUGAAAGACCACAGGACGGGGACAUGGCAUCAUGAAAAAAGAUGCUUUGUGAUUUUCAACAUAUGGUGACACUUUUCCUAAUUUAGAGGGGGAAGCUGGGUUUUGAGUUUUCUUUUAUCCUCCCUCUUUGUUAAAAGCAAGAGAAAGAAGAUUUAAAGAACAUCUGUGUAUUCAAAUGAUAGAAAUAGAAUUAUACACUUUCAAAAACAAGUUCUAGUAUUUUUGUCUCUUUCAAAGAUUUCCGAAGCCUAUAGAUUUCUCUCGUGUUUGUGAGAGCAUUUCCUCUGAGACCUUAGACAUAGUGUUGAAGUUGAAAUGGUUUUUGUCUUUUUCCCCUUUCUGUUAACCCAGCCCCCACUUCAUUCUGUUAAUCUCCUUUAAUUGGACUUAAGAUAAGACUGAGUAUGUUCAAUAUUUUUAUUGAAUUGAGUUUUAUGUUUCCAGUCUGGAUUUAUAGACUGUUAAAUAGAAUGUUUUACGUUUCUCUCUCUCGCAAAGAAAAUAACAAAUACGUGUGGGACAGAGCCAUCAGUCAAUUAUAUCAGUGGAUUGUUGGCAACUCACAGGGGGAAAAAAAAGAGCAUUUUCACUCUACUCUUAGGGGAAAGCAAUUAUAUUUAAGAGCAGUAGAAAGCCAAAACUAGCCUGGAACUUCAAAACGCCUUUCUUGACUGACCAAGAAAAGGUACAGUGACUACAAUGACAAACCAGCCCCCAGCUCUUUUAGAAAUCUACCCUGCCUCAUGCUAAAGAGAAAGUAAGUGAUGUUUCAGCCUCGGCGACCAGGCAGGAAUAGAAAAAUACAUUGACAGUAGUUGGAUAGACCUUAAAAUUAAGUAAAAAUUUCUUAAUAUACAAGAUCUCAGUUUUCCCACAAACCUCCUUUCUGUCCAGAAAUUUCCAUGCCAUUUACUGCCUGAUCAUGUCAGGAAUGACGUUCUUCCUUGUUCUUGAUUUUCCUUCCUGGAAUGUUUUAAUCCUGCCUCUCCAGAACACUUUUCCCUACUUCUUCUAGGCCCUACUCACAGCAAUGUAGCUGACACAUAGCAUUAGCGUGCAAAACCUCAAAUCCUUUCUGACUUGGAACUUCACCCAGGAAAGACCUCUAGCAAAAGUGCUGGCCAUUGUGUCACAGGACAAACCCCUUUCAAAGAACAAAGCCAUCAUCAUCUCAAAAGCCACAGUCACCACCUGGACCUUCCGUCCUGAGGAAAGGAAUCUCCACCGAAUCUAGGGGGAAGACCCCCCCACCAGUCUGUGCAAAAGAUGAAGAAUUGAGUAUGCACCUACCUGUGCCCUUCCAUUUCCACCUCUUCCCACCUUCCCCGUUUCUUUUUCCGUUCAUUUUUUUUUCCACUUUAAAAACAUCCAACUUUGCCUUGGGGAUGAGCAGAAUGAAAUGUCACUUACCUAUAAAAAGAGACAGAAGAGAAAGCCAUGCAUCACAUUACACACAAGUUCUUUGAAAUCAAGGCCAGCUUCCGACUUUGAAACUGUAACAAUGAGUGAAUAUUAUUUUUUCAUCCUACCUUUCUAUAUUUAAUGAAACUCAGGAGUUCGCAAGUAGCCUAUCCCCAGGGCCCAGUCUCCCUUCGUGAUUUUCCUUUUGUUUCUUUGCCUCCUCCGUCCCUCUUCACCACCCUAGCCCCACACCCUCUGUCCCCGCUUCAUGGAUGAAAGGUCAGGAAGGAAUAAGGGGGGAGGGGUGCACAGACCCAGAGAUCAAGGCCAGCCCUCAGAUGUGGGCAGCAAGGUUUCGAGGCAUGAGGAGCCGCUUUUCACCUCUUUUCUCACAGGCCACAGAGAUGGGACCCAGGGUCAGUGCCGGCUGGUGCCUCUCGGGAGGAGGGAGGAAGGUCAGCUCCCUGCAGGGUGAUUUUCCACCUGGUGGCUUCUGGGCUCUUUCAAAUGACUCUGCUCUGAGUCUUCCUCCUCUCUCCCUCCCUCACCCUCACCCCCUCCGCCCUCCUGGUUUGGGUGUGAAUGAAUUCACCCAAGGUCUCCAUCCCCCUCUUCAUCCUGCAGCAUCUGUCUUUCAGACCUGCUUCUACAGAAAACCUCAUUAUUGCAGCACCCUGAGGCCAACAACCACCUGAAUGGGUCAUUGUGUUCAGUCCCCUGCCUCAAUACAUGAUGCAAACUGGCCCACCCGAGUCCUACGGGACACUUUGAGAACCCUGAGAUACUGAGUCCCCGCCUUGCCCGGCUCCUGGCCGCAGAGGCUCCCUGUCUUCAUGCAACAAGCUCCUUGUGGCCGACUGAUUCGGUUCUGUCGGCUGUAAGGAAGCCAGGCUCUGAGCAUUCUACUUGCAAGAACAGCCCCUCACCCACCACGCUAUGUAGCGGAUCCUUCACGUGCUCACAUAUUGGAAAAUUGGCUUCAGGGUCCUGCCAGUGUCUUCUUCUUCUUAUGCCUGAAUAACUCAUUUCCUUUUAGACUCUUCUUAAAGGUUUCAGUUUUCCAUCUUUCCUCCUCCAAGCUCCUCUGAGACCCUCCGUGGAGGACAGCUCAGAGCUAAGCCCUGGAGAGAAAAGCAGCCACGUGUCCCCCGAUUCUGUUGCUGCAUCCCCCAAAGAGAUUUCCAACCAAGAUGCUCUGCCAGAAAUGGAAUUACGGUCAAAUAUUGCAUCCCGAUCACAUUGGUAUGUUAAAGACUUGGAGAGGGUUCGAGGUAAAGAUCUAUGCUGAAACUUUUCCUAACGGUAUUUGACUCAGAAAUGUUUCUUGCUAUAUAUAAACUAAAACACCGUACUUCAGAAGGAUGACUACUUUUUCUCUCAUUAUGAAUGUAAAACUAAAUACAAUUGAGUUGGUAUUAUCACAAGCAGUGGCCAGAGGACCUUGAAGUCGAUGGCCCGGCCACCAUGCCCAGCUAAUUUUUUGUAUUUUUAUUAGAGACAGGGUUUUGCCAUGCUGUCCAGGCUGUUCUCUAACUCCUGACCUCUGGUGAUCCGCCCACCUCGGCCUCCCAAAGUGCUGGAAUUACAGGCGUGAGCCACCGCGUCCGGCCGCUUACACCUUUUAAAGCUUCUGAUUCUGCUGUCUCUGCUCUGUGGCUUUGCAUCUGGGCAAGUUUCUCCGCAGACCAGGAACCUCUAAGUCGGGGGAGGAAAGAGAGGUCGCUGAAUCAGAGCAAGGCAUGCCGUCCUCGUCUGCAUCCUCUAUUACUCUUGAAUAAGAGAGAAUGCGAGGACAAACGGGCAUCAGCAUAGUGACGUGUCCAUGUAGGUUCACGAAUGUAAGAGCUGCACCACGUGGGUGUGGAAUGUUAACAGUUGGGGAGGCUGGGGCAGUGGGAAAAGGGGUCUAUGGGAAUGCUCUGUAUUUUCCCCUUAUUUUACUGGAACCUAAAACUGCUCCAAAAAUAAAGUUUAUGAAUGAAAAC
rnacentral:lncRNA from 1 species